AGAGAGAGACAUGCGCGCAUAUCAAUAAGCGGAGGAAAAGAAACUAACUAGGAUUCCCUCAGUAACGGCGAGUGAAGCGGGAAGAGCUCAAAUUUGAAAUCUUCAAGGUUUUACCUUGACGAAUUGUAGUUUAAAGAAGUGUUUUCUGUUGAAGUUUUGGUAAAAGUUCUUUGGAAUAGGACAUCAUAGAGGGUGAGAAUCCCGUAUUUGACCAUUAUUUCCAGCUUUGUGAUACACUUUCAAAGAGUCGGAUUGUUUGGGAAUGCAGUCCAAAAUGGGUGGUAAAUUUCAUCUAAAGCUAAAUAUUGGCGAGAGACCGAUAGCGAACAAGUACCGUGAGGGAAAGAUGAAAAGAACUUUGAAAAGAGAGUCAAACAGUACGUGAAAUUGUCAAAAGGGAAGCGUUUGACACCAGUGUUGUUUUUCUGAAAAUCAAUUAAAGAACUGUUUAUGCUAAGCUGUUUAGACUUUAUCAGCUAAUCUGUUUAGUUUUGAGCUUUUCUUUAAUGCACUUUUCAGUUAACAAGUCAACAUCAAUUUCUUUUGCUGUAAAAAAGCUUGAGGAAGGGCGGCUUGAGAUUCGUCUUAAGUGUUUAUAGCCUCUUGCCUAUGCAGUCGGAGAGAUUGAGGUCUGCAGCGUAGAUCCUUCGGGGCUAGAUACAUUUGUGCUAAGUUAUAGCAUUUUAUAGACAACUUGUUGACUAUGAUCAGUCAUGUAGCUUACUCGCUUAUGCUAUUUUACCUACGCUUAGGAUGUUGAUGUGAUACUGCGAGCA
rnacentral:rRNA from 1 species